GGACUUGUCCUGCAAUAAGAUAGAAUUUAUUGAAAAGAAUGCAUUUGAUUCAUUACCUCUUUUACAAUAUAUAAAUCUUGGUUGCAAUUUAAUCACCAAAGUGAACUUUGGAACAUUUCAGACCUGGCAUGGAAUGCAGCUGUUACACAAGUUAAUUCUACAUGAAAAUCCUCUGAUGACUGUUCAAGACCCAUAUCUUUUUAAUUUGCCAGCAUUGAAAUAUUU